rnacentral:lncRNA from 1 species
UAGAGGGAGGAAAGACUUCUCCCAAGCUGCCAUUUCCAAGGAUGUUCGUUUCUGAGUGGUCUUGAAUACAAGGGCAGUAUCUAAGAAGGACUCUAUCUUCAUGAUUCAUCUUCAGAUACAUAUGUAUAUGAACCACUUUGUACCCCAGAUUUCCUUGUGACUCACUCCAGACAUUUUAUUUCCAAGGUCCUAUUCUUAUGAAUAAGCUAUUAGUAAUUGCUCAUAUAUUCAUGUAAAUAUACAAUAUACAAUAUAAUAUAAAUAUAAGUAUAACA